GACGAACGCUGGCGGCGUGCUUAACACAUGCAAGUCGAACGGAAAGGCCCUGCUUUUGUGGGGUGCUCGAGUGGCGAACGGGUGAGUAACACGUGAGUAACCUGCCCUUGGCUUUGGGAUAACUUCAGGAAACUGGGGCUAAUACCGGAUAGGAGCUCCUGCUGCAUGGUGGGGGUUGGAAAGUUACGGCGGUUGGGGAUGGACUCGCGGCUUAUCAGCUUGUUGGUGGGGUAGUGGCUUACCAAGGCUUUGACGGGUAGCCGGCCUGAGAGGGUGACCGGCCACAUUGGGACUGAGAUACGGCCCAGACUCCUACGGGAGGCAGCAGUGGGGAAUAUUGCACAAUGGGCGGAAGCCUGAUGCAGCAACGCCGCGUGCGGGAUGACGGUCUUCGGGUUGUAAACCGCUUUCGCCUGUGACGAAGCGUGAGUGACGGUAAUGGGUAAAGAAGCACCGGCUAACUACGUG
rnacentral:rRNA from 1 species